GGUGGCCCAGUGGUAGAGCACUUGCCUUGCAUGCAUGAGGCCCUGGGUUCAAUUCCUCAGCACCA
rfam:Dipodomys ordii contig_39723, whole genome shotgun sequence.